GAAUGCCAUUGGCCAGUUUCAUUGGCGUGAUUCAAUAAGGCUUCACUAGUAUUUGGAGGAAGGGGAACUUCAAUUAGCAAU